UUUCAAGUGUCCUGGGCUCUCCCUGCCUCUGCCCCCACAUACUUCCCUGGGCCUCUGAGCCCACCAGGCUGGGGACCUUGAGAGGGACACAGGGCACGGCCUGGUAAGAUCUGUGAGCUGGAGCGUGUGUCUGCAGAGCAGCUCUCUGGAGCACAGCUGGGGCCACAUCUGGUCUAGUGUCUGGACUAGGACAUGUUUCUUCUCUCCUGCUGUACCUCUGCCUGCUCUCUGUGCUUUGGGGAGCCCAGGCAAAGGGAACCAACAUGGACCACAGUUUAAAUGCUGUAUAAAGCAUCCAGCGGUCAGAAAGCCAGUGGAAAAGAAGGUUCUGGAAAAGAGGAAGGCAAUCUAUGACAGAACCAAGGAGGUUGGAGAGGCUUCCACAUUCCUGCAAAUUCACACCUCUCUGAGACAGGAUCGGGGUGCUGCACUUCGUGGUAUCCUAAGGACUUCCAGUGUCUUCUGGGAGCCUGGGAAGCCAGAUGAAAUCAUUGGGUUAUGAAGCAAUUUUACUUGGAAUGAAUGACACAUACGAGGGGGCCGAAGCCCGGACCCUAGUCCUGGCGCUCUAGAACAUGGAAUGCAGAGUCAGACUGGCUGUCUGCAACCCAUCUCCACCGCUGGAAUUCCAGGGAGGCGUCGAAUCUCUUCAUUCUCCAGUUUCCUCUUCUCAACCACAGGGGUAAGAAUGGCACCUACCGAUUUCUUUUUUCCCUGGGAGGAUCAGUAGGGUAAGUGGUA
rnacentral:lncRNA from 1 species